rnacentral:rRNA from 1 species
AGUUCGGAUUGUAGUCUGCAACCCGACUACAUGAAGCUGGAAUCGCUAGUAAUCGCAGAUCAGAAUGCUGCGGUGAAUACGUUCCCGGGUCUUGUACACACCGCCCGUCACACCAUGGGAGUUGGAAAUGCCCGAAGUCGGUGACCUAACCGAAAGGGAGGAGCCGCCGAAGGCAGGUCUGAUAACUGGGGUGAAGUCGUAACAAGGUACC